GUAAAAUAAGUCUAAAAUUUAAAUACGUUAAAAUCCUUACUCCGUUCAGAAUUUGUUCUUUGGAUGAUUUUUAGGGUUUCUUUUUCCAUAGAUUUCGGAUUUUCCUUCGGAUAAUUUUGGUUCAGGGCUGCAGAAAGUGCUUCGUUUUGGUUAUUUGUGUGGUGAAUUGGGUUCGGCAAUCUGGACAACAAAGGUAUCUGACUAAUUAUGGUUCCAGGUCUUGAAGAUUUUGAAUUUAUACAAGGGGUUCAAACCAGGUGAAUGGACAAUAUAUAUCACUGCAAGAAAGAAAUUGGUUUAGCAAUUGAUUUGGAUUUGCUUACUGAAUGAUUUUGAUUCCAUGUGUAGCAAUGGAUCCAAGGGAAAAACAAGGUUAUCUGAUGAAUGUGUAUGUAAUUGCUUAGUGUUGCUGAUUUGAGUCUCCUUUUUUUUUUUUUUUGCUUAUUAAUUUAUAUUUUUAAGCUAUGGGAGGGGAGAAACAUGGGAUCUCUUCAUGUCCUUAAUAUUCAAUAUCCAUUGUUCGCAAUAUCUGGGUUUGUUGUUCAUGAUGUACAGUUUAUGGGUUCGUGCAUCAUUGAAAAUUCAAUGUCCUUGGACGGAAAAGAAAGAAGAACCGAAAACGAACGGUAUAUUCCUUUGCUUCCUCAAAUUCUGCAAGUAGUGAUUUGCCUUAGCUAGCACCUAAUUUGCCUUAAUUCUUUGCUUCCUAAUUGUUCGUUUUACUAUUUAGUAAGUAAUUCAGAUAUAAAGGUUUCAGCUCUUGGUUCUUGGUUUUCAAAGACCUUUUGCUUAUUACGAUGCUGCAGGGAAGGAACAAAGAUUCUGAAUACCAGAAAAAAAAAAAAAAAAAAAAAAAAGGGAAGAAGAACCAUAAACUGAUACAGUGAUAAAACUUGCUCCCUUCUUUUCAUUUUGAGUCUGUAAGUCUGUUCUUUUAUUUGUCUUGGCUCAAAUAGCUUCUUCUUCUUCUUUUUUUUUAAUUUUUUUUUAUCAAACAUCAAUUAGUGUUUGAUUCAGUUGAACAGUCACUUCAGAUACUGUACUACUGUAGUGUCUUUUAUGACAAUCCCUGUCAGAUACCGUAGUAAUUUAAUUAUCUACAGUGAUUCCAGUUUUUCCUUCUCUCUUCUCAAUAGCAGCUUCACAAAUUUAGAGAAGAUUGAUAGUUUGGUCAUAGUUUUUCCUUUUUCCAUAUUCAUGAUCUCUCUAGCUAAGAGGAUUUGUCCCAAUCAGGUUCUCUUAAGAAAAGCUAUAGAGUCCUCUUUUCUUUUCUUUUUUUGUAUUUUUUCGGGACCAUGGCAUUACUGUAAUGCUUAGGUUUUACAGCAGCCGCGCAGUUUUUCCUUCUCUCUUCUCAAUAGCAGCUUCACAAAUUUAGAGAAGAUUGAUAGUUUGGUCAUAGUUUUUCCUUUUUCCAUAUUCAUGAUCUCUCUAGCUAAGAGGAUUUGUCCCAAUCAGGUUCUCUUAAGAAAAGCUAUAGAGUCCUCUUUUCUUUUCUUUUUUUUUUUGUAUUUUUUUGGGACCAUGGCAUUACUGUAAUGCUUAGGUUUUACAGCAGCCGCGCAGUGAAUGGAGACGUCGUGCCACAGGUUUGGUUCUAUUAUUUGAAGAACUAUUUCCUGUCGCAGAUUACAUUAUUUGGGCUGUAUAUACUGUAUAUUUAGUCCAAAUUGUCUCUUAGAUUUCUGUUAGUAGAUUUUUUAGCAUACUACCUAUUGUAUCUGUCAAGAUAUGGUUUGGAACCAUUUGAUAUCAUAUUUUUAUAAUCAACUCAAGGAGCCUUCUUGCUUGCUUCACAUACCCAUUCUUCACUUUCGGACACAGAAAAGAUUGUUUGUGUGUUUUUUUACUCUCACUUUUAACACUCUUUGUUAGACUAACUGUUUCGUGCAUCCAGUACUUAUUAUAGACUACAAUACCAUUUUCUUUUUUGGUGAAGGACAAUGAUACUCUUUAGACUAGCAAGAAACAUGGGACAACUGCAUUCUUUAUGUCAUCCUCGAUCAGUUGGUAAUCUGUGCACAGUAAUGGUAACGCUAUUAAGCCUGGAAUAUUCCUUCCCAAGGGAAAAGGUUUCAAGCAGUCAUUAGAGAUGGGAACUAGAGAAAGACUCGCCCCUCAACUUGCUACUGCCUAAACUGUUAAAGCAAUGUAUUGGUAGUUAAACUUAUAAGAUAUUUAUGCUGUUUGCGGUAAAUGGUACUAGGCAAUCAAUUGUA